rnacentral:rRNA from 1 species
UACAGGGGGUGCAAACGUUGCUCGGAAUCAUUGGGCGUAAAGCGCACGUAGGCGGUCUGUUAUGUCGGAUGUGAAAGCCCUUGGCUCAACUGAGGAAGUGCAUCCGAAACUGGCAGGCUAGAGUACGAAAGAGGAUCGCGGAAUUCCCGGUGUAGAGGUGAAAUGCGCAGAUAUCAGGAGGAACACCCAUUGCGAAGGCAGCUCGCUGGGACGUUACUGACGCUGAGACGCGAAAGCGUGGGGAGCAAACAGG